rnacentral:tRNA from 1 species
AAUAUUAUAGUUUAAUUAAAAUUUUAAAUUGCAAAUUUAAAGAUAGAGUUUUCUUAAUAUUU